rnacentral:rRNA from 1 species
UACGGAGGGAGCUAGCGUUGUUCGGAAUUACUGGGCGUAAAGCGCGCGUAGGCGGCUUUGUAAGUUAGAGGUGAAAGCCCGGAGCUCAACUCCGGAACUGCCUUUAAAACUGCAUCGCUUGAAUCCAGGAGAGGUGAGUGGAAUUCCGAGUGUAGAGGUGAAAUUCGUAGAUAUUGGGAAGAACACCGGUGGCGAAGGCGGCUAUCUGGACCGACAUUGACGCUGAGGCGCGAAAGCGUGGGGAGCAAACAGG